UAACAGGGACUUCGGUCCGCUGACGAGUGGCGCACGGGUGAGUAACGCGUGGAUAUCUGCCUAUUAGUGGGGGACAACUACAGGAAACUGUAGCUAAUACCGCAUAAUCUCUACGGAGGAAAGCAGGGGACCUUUCGGGGCCUUGCGCUGAUAGAUGAGUCCGCGUCAGAUUAGCUAGUUGGUAAGGUAAUGGCUUACCAAGGCGAUGAUCUGUAACUGGUUUGAGAGGAUGAUCAGUCACACUGGAACUGAGACACGGUCCAGACUUCUACGGAAGGCAGCAGUGGGGAAUAUUGCACAAUGGGCGAAAGCCUGAUGCAGCGACGCCGCGUGCGGGAAGAAGGCCUUCGGGUUGUAAACCGCUUUCAAUUGGGAAGAAGAGAUGAGAGUUAAUACCUCUCUGAUUUGACGGUACCUUUAGAAGAAGCACCGGCUAAUUUCGUGCCAGCAGCCGCGGUAAUACGAAAGGUGCAAGCGUUGUUCGGAUUUACUGGGCGUAAAGAGAUCGUAGGUGGUUUAUUAAGUCGGAUGUGAAAUCCCGGGGCUCAACCCCGGAACUGCAUUCGAUACUGAUAGGCUAGAGUUCGAGAGGGGUAAGCGGAAUUCCGUGUGUAGCAGUGAAAUGCGUAGAUAUACGGAGGAACACCUGAGGCGAAGGCGGCUUACUGGACCGAUACUGACACUGAGGAUCGAAAGCGUGGGUAGCAAACAGGAUUAGAUACCCUGGUAGUCCACGCCCUAAACGAUGUCAACUAGCCGUUGCGGGUAUCGACCCCUGCAGUGGCGAAGCUAACGCGAUAAGUUGACCGCCUGGGGAGUACGGUCGCAAGAUUAAAACUCAAAGGAAUUGACGGGGGCCC
rnacentral:rRNA from 1 species